UAGGCAUGAAACAAUGGGAAUUGUUUCCCUCCUCAUUCUAUGUUCCUUUUUGGAAUUCCAUCACUCACCUCAACAGGAUUCCUUGGGACAAGAAAAUGAUGCCCACAGCAUGCAGGGAAAUCAUGGUAGCUGCACUGAGGGGAAGAAAAACAGCCCAGUGAACCCAGCCAUUUCAAAUCCAAAUUGGCUUCAACUAUUAAGAGGCGACAAAUGGAACAACAGAAUCAGAGAAGCAGACUUAGGGUCAUCAAAUGUGGCUCCCCAAGGAUGCAGCCUGAAGAUGACUAAGAGCUUCUGGGAUGUAGAGAGGCUUGUCCUAAAAAUCCAUGACCAAAAUGCUAAUAUUUGUGUGUAAACAGUCCAUUCUAAUUCAGUUCAAGACAUUAUUUUAUGUUGUACCUAAAAGAAGCCAAGAUGUGAAGGAGGAACAGAUUUCAGCACAUAAUGGGAUUGGACAUACCCUUUGUAGCUUGUUUAUUUUAUUUCCAUGGGCUUCCUUCUCCUUGCCAAGUUAUUUUGACUACUGAGAUAUCUUGGGUUGAUACUUAUGAUGAAUUUCUUUAGAACCAGUUUUCAUCUUGAUGAAAUGUAUGCCUGUUUUUGUCUACAUAGACCUACUUUAAAAUCCCAAAACAUCUGUCACUUACUAGGUGUCAUCUUAAUUUAUUACUUAACCCCUCUUUAUUGUUAAAACAGAGACUAACAUACAUACACCAAAGUUUGCUAGCAGGCUUAAUUUGAAGAAUACUUGUGAAGGGAUUUAACUCAUAGCACUCAGGAAAUCUUCCCCAUCCUACCUUUAACACUUUAAUUCAUAAGGCAUCAGAAUCUAUCCUCCAGCCUCACCUCAAUUUCCUUAAAUUUUUUAAAUGUAAUUUGAAAAAUGAGAGGUCUUAUAUCAAUACAAUUUUAUUACAGGAAAAAUUACUAGGGGACCUAGCUGAGCCUAAAGAAAAUAAAUCCAUGGGGUAAAAGAAACA
rnacentral:lncRNA from 1 species